rnacentral:tRNA from 1 species
GGGAAAGUGGCUCAGUGGUAGAGUGCUUGCCUCACAAGCAUGAGGUCCUGGGUUUGAUUCCUCAGCACCA